rnacentral:rRNA from 1 species
UACGUAGGUGGCAAGCGUUUGUCCGGAAUUAUUGGGCGUAAAGCGCGCGCAGGCGGCCUCUUAAGUCUGAUGUGAAAGCCCCCGGCUCAACCGGGGAGGGCCAUUGGAAACUGGGAGGCUUGAGUAUAGGAGAGAAGAGUGGAAUUCCACGUGUAGCGGUGAAAUGCGUAGAGAUGUGGAGGAACACCAGUGGCGAAGGCGACUCUUUGGCCUAUAACU